GAUGAACGCUGGCGGCGUGCCUAAUACAUGCAAGUCGAGCGAACAGACGAUGAUCUUGCUCCUCUGACGUUAGCGGCGGACGGGAGAGUAACACGUGGAUAACCUACCUAUAAGACUGGGAUAACCUCGGGAAACCGGAGCUAAUACCGGAUAAUAUAUUGAACCGCAGUGUGCAAUAGUGAAAUACGGUUGUGCUGUCUCUAAUAGAUGGAUCCGCGCCGCAUUAGCUAGUUGGUCAGCUAACGGCUUACCAAGGCAACGAUGCGUAGACGACCUGAGAGGGUGGUAGGCCACACUGGAACUGAGACGCGGUCAAGACUCCUACGGGAGGCAGCAGUAGGGAAUCUUCGGCAACGGGCGAAAGCCUGACGGAGCAACGCCGAGUGAGAGCUAAAGGUCUUCGGAUCGUAAAAAUCUGUUAUUAGGGAAGAACAAAUGUGUCCGUAACUAUGCCCGUAUUGACGGUAAUUAAUAAGAAAGCCACGGCUAACUACGUG
rnacentral:rRNA from 1 species